GCCUGCCUUGCUAAACUAGCACUCAGUAUCUCUCACAACUCACUUUGAUACCCGUCAGCACUGGCAGUUUCUAAUUGUAGCUUUCUAAUUUCUUCUGCAUAAAAUUUAAAACUUGCCUUCCAACACAGAUUUUUUUCUUCUGAAACGUGUACUGUCCAAGAGCUCACAGUGAUUUCUACAGCUUUGUGUUAUGCUGCCAUAACUGGGUUGACACAGUGCCUUCAUGCAGUUGUGAUCCCUGGUAAAGUUUCGUUCUCACUCUUUUCAUCCAAAUUGUUUAUUUUUGGGAAUUUCCUGCUCAAGUGAUCAAGAGCUUUGAUAUUCUCAAAAUAGCAUUGUUUUUUUUCCCCCCACUUGUUUAAACUGCACAUGGUAAUGGGAAGAGAGCAUGGCCAGAGCUAGGAAAAAUAUUUUUAGCAAAAUGAAAUUAGUUGAAGAGUUGUUCUGUAAUUUUUUAGGGAGAGUGUUUUGUCUUCCAUCCUUUCCUUGGGGCAGGAUCAGGGCCAGCAUCUAUUGCAAAUGCAGCCACUUCACAGAGCAUCAUGGUUGGGCACCUGCUUCCUUUCAUCCCAGAAAAGAAGUUCCAGCUUUGAUCCUGAAGAGACUCAUGUUGGUUCAGCUAUGGGAAUACGGGUUGCUACAGCUCACAGAAUGGCUUGCCAGAAGGGUGAAGGAACUCAGUGAUUUUACAAGGAACAGUAAUCAGGU
ensembl:lncRNA